rnacentral:piRNA from 1 species
UGAGAGUAUAAAAGAGUGAGAGGCC